rnacentral:rRNA from 1 species
UGAGGAAUAUUGGACAAUGGGUGGAAGCCUGAUCCAGCCAUCCCGCGUGAAGGAUGACGGUCCUAUGGAUUGUAAACUUCUUUUGUACAGGGAUAAACCUGCCCUCGUGAGGGCAGCUGAAGGUACUGUACGAAUAAGCACCGGCUAACUCCGUGCCAGCAGCCGCGGUAAUACGGAGGGUGCGAGCGUUAUCCGGAUUUAUUGGGUUUAAAGGGUCCGUAGGCGGGCCUGUAAGUCAGUGGUGAAAUCUCAUAGCUUAACUAUGAAACUGCCAUUGAUACUGCAGACCUUGAGUAAAUUUGGAGUGGCUGGAAUAAGUAGUGUAGCGGUGAAAUGCAUAGAUAU